rnacentral:rRNA from 1 species
CCUACGGGUGGCAGCAGUGAGGAAUAUUGGUCAAUGGACGAAAGUCUGAACCAGCCAAGUAGCGUGAAGGAUGACGGCCCUAUGGGUUGUAAACUUCUUUUAUAUGGGAAUAAAAUGUUUCACGUGUAGGGUUUUGUAUGUACCAUAUGAAUAAGGAUCGGCUAACUCCGUGCCAGCAGCCGCGGUAAUACGGAGGAUCCGGGCGUUAUCCGGAUUUAUUGGGUUUAAAGGGAGCGUAGGUGGCUUGUUAAGUCAGUUGUGAAAGGUUCGGGCUCAACCGUGCAAUUGCAGCUGAUACUGGCAGGCUUGAGUACAGUAGAGGUGGGCGGAAUUCGUGGUGUAGCGGUGAAAUGCUUAGAGAUCACGAAGAACUCCGAUUGCGAAGGCAGCUCACUGGACUGCAACUGACGCUGAGGCUCGAAAGCGUGGGUAUCAAACAGGAUUAGAUACCCGGGUAGUC